GAUGAGACGAGCAGUGAACACUUAAAUCUUAGUUUUUUGCUUUGUAACACAUUCUGCCAUAAAACUCCACAAUGUUCACAGCUCUGCUUCUCUCUCUGCUAUUCUGCACAUCUUUGCAUUCUGCAGAAAACAAACAUGCUGUCUCUGGGGAUGGUGCUAGUCUCAUCGUCGCCGAGUAUCACAUGACUGAGAAUUAUGCAUCAGGAGAUGGUCAAAUUAAUGAGAUUUCUAUACCGGAAGAGGGCACCCCUGAGACUGAACGUAGACAGAUGAAUGGAGGCGUGCAAGAUUCAGGCUGUGAAGUCAUUGCUCUCACAACCCCGGCAACUCCAACAAGAAUACCUGAGAAGACCACGCUCACACCUCCUAGUACCUCCACACUGCCAAAAUCUCACCCUGUUCCAGGCACGUAUGUUGUACCGCUUGUACCCAUCUACCCCUGGGGUUCAUCCAGAACUCCCCAUUAUUACAUCAUCAGAGGAAAUCAAUACGCAACAAACGGACGUUUGGGAGCACCUGGCCAUCAGCUUUAUUGGUUCGUUCCACUCGAAGGUCUCAGGCGUCACCAUGUCUCUCAAGUAUUUCGAAACAUGAACUCUGAAGAGUCAGUAUCUGAUGACUGAUUAAAGACGGAUUGUAAUCAAGAACCCAGUAUAAUUCAUACAAGUCUAACUUUUGUUACCAUGGCAACUUGUUCGGAAUCAUCCAUCUGCUGUCUUCCUCUUCUAUUAAAAUUGAUUUCCAGGAAACACGUUUCUUUGUCUAAUUCCUGCUUAAAUAAAGGAUUUUAGUUUCCUGUUGCCA
rnacentral:lncRNA from 1 species